rnacentral:rRNA from 1 species
UACCUGUACGCAUUCAAGAAAGGUCGGUUAAGCUCCGCAGGGCCGAUGGUACUGCACCGCAUGGUGUGGGAGAGUAGGUCGCUU